GCUCCUAUGGCUCAGUUGGUAGAGCGCAUCACUAGUAUGCUAUCCGUGCAAUGAUGAGGUCCUCAGUUCGACUCUGAGUGGGAGCA